GAUGAACGCUGACAGAAUGCUUAACACAUCAGCAAUUGAUUGGUGGCGGACGGGUGAGUAACGCGUAAAGAACUUGCCUCACAGCUAGGGACAACAUUUGGAAACGAAUGCUAAUACCUAAUCCUGUGAGAGAGCUGUGCGUCCCAUUAGCUAGUUGGAGAGGUAACGGCUCACCAAGGCGAGGAUGGGUAGCCGGCCUGAGAGGGUGAUCGGGCACAGAGGGCCUGGGACACGGCCCUUACGCCUACGGGAGGAAGCAGUGGAGAAUAUUGGACAAUGGACCAAAGUCUGAUCCAGCAAUUCUGUGUGCACGAUGAAGUUUUCGGAAUGUAAAGUGCUUUCAGUUGAGAAGCGGUACCAACAGAAGAAGUGACGGCUAAAUACGUGCCAGCCGCCGCGGUAAUUC
rnacentral:rRNA from 1 species